rnacentral:rRNA from 1 species
GAUGUGGGUUAAGUCCCGUAACGAGCGCAACCCUUGUCCUUAGUUACCAGCACGUUAUGGUGGGCACUCUAAGGAGACUGCCGGUGACAAACCGGAGGAAGGUGGGGAUGACGUCAAGUCAUCAUGGCCCUUACGGCCUGGGCUACACACGUGCUACAAUGGUCGGUACAAAGGGUUGCCAAGCCGCGAGGUGGAGCUAAUCCCAUAAAACCGAUCGUAGUCCGGAUCGCAGUCUGCAACUCGACUGCGUGAAGUCGGAAUCGCUAGUAAUCGUGAAUCAGAAUGUCACGGUGAAUACGUUCCCGGGCCUU